rnacentral:rRNA from 1 species
UACGAACCGUACAAACGUUAUUCGGAAUCACUGGGCUUAAAGGGUGCGUAGGCUGCCAUGUAAGUGAGAUGUGAAAUCCCUCGGCUCAACCGAGGAAGUGCAUUUCAUACUGCAUGGCUUGAGGGAGACAGGGGUAAGCGGAACUGAUGGUGGAGCGGUGAAAUGCGUUGAUAUCAUCAGGAACACCGGUGGCGAAAGCGGCUUACUGGGUCUCUUCUGACGCUGAGGUACGAAAGCUAGGGAAGCGAACGGG